CCUACGGGACGCAGCAGUGAGGAAUAUUGGUCAAUGGGCGCGAGCCUGAACCAGCCAAGUCGCGUGAGGGAAGACGGUCCUAUGGAUUGUAAACCUCUUUUGUCGGGGAGCAAAAGACGCCACGCGUGGCGUUCCGAGAGUACCCGAAGAAAAAGCAUCAGCUAACUCCGUGCCAGCAGCCGCGGUAAUACGUAGGUGGCAAGCGUUGUCCGGAAUUACUGGGUGUAAAGGGAGCGCAGGCGGGAAGCCAAGUCAGCUGUGAAAACUACGGGCUUAACUUGUAGACUGCAGUUGAAACUGGUUUU
rnacentral:rRNA from 1 species